rnacentral:rRNA from 1 species
GGUUAAGCGACUAAGCGUACACGGUGGAUGCCCUGGCAGUCAGAGGCGAUGAAGGACGUGCUAAUCUGCGAUAAGCGUCGGUGAGGUGAUAUGAACCGUUAUAACCGGCGAUUUCCGAAUGGGGAAACCCAGUGUGAUUCGUCACACUAUCAUUAACUGAAUCCAUAGGUUAAUGAGGCGAACCGGGGGAACUGAAACAUCUAAGUACCCCGAGGAAAAGAAAUCAACCGAGAUUCCCCCAGUAGCGGCGAGCGAACGGGGAGGAGCCCAGAGCCUGAAUCAGUGUGUGUGUUAGUGGAAGCGUCUGGAAAGGCGCGCGAUACAGGGUGACAGCCCCGUACACAAAAAUGCACAUACUGUGAGCUCGAUGAGUAGGGCGGGACACGUGGUAUCCUGUCUGAAUAUGGGGGGACCAUCCUCCAAGGCUAAAUACUCCUGACUGACCGAUAGUGAACCAGUACCGUGAGGGAAAGGCGAAAAGAACCCCGGCGAGGGGAGUGAAAAAGAACCUGAAACCGUGUACGUACAAGCAGUGGGAGCCUCUUUAUGGGGUGACUGCGUACCUUUUGUAUAAUGGGUCAGCGACUUAUAUUCUGUAGCAAGGUUAACCGAAUAGGGGAGCCGAAGGGAAACCGAGUCUUAACUGGGCGUUAAGUUGCAGGGUAUAGACCCGAAACCCGGUGAUCUAGCCAUGGGCAGGUUGAAGGUUGGGUAACACUAACUGGAGGACCGAACCGACUAAUGUUGAAAAAUUAGCGGAUGACUUGUGGCUGGGGGUGAAAGGCCAAUCAAACCGGGAGAUAGCUGGUUCUCCCCGAAAGCUAUUUAGGUAGCGCCUCGUGAAUUCAUCUCCGGGGGUAGAGCACUGUUUCGGCAAGGGGGUCAUCCCGACUUACCAACCCGAUGCAAACUGCGAAUACCGGAGAAUGUUAUCACGGGAGACACACGGCGGGUGCUAACGUCCGUCGUGAAGAGGGAAACAACCCAGACCGCCAGCUAAGGUCCCAAAGUCAUGGUUAAGUGGGAAACGAUGUGGGAAGGCCCAGACAGCCAGGAUGUUGGCUUAGAAGCAGCCAUCAUUUAAAGAAAGCGUAAUAGCUCACUGGUCGAGUCGGCCUGCGCGGAAGAUGUAACGGGGCUAAACCAUGCACCGAAGCUGCGGCAGCGACACUAUGUGUUGUUGGGUAGGGGAGCGUUCUGUAAGCCUGUGAAGGUGUACUGUGAGGUAUGCUGGAGGUAUCAGAAGUGCGAAUGCUGACAUAAGUAACGAUAAAGCGGGUGAAAAGCCCGCUCGCCGGAAGACCAAGGGUUCCUGUCCAACGUUAAUCGGGGCAGGGUGAGUCGACCCCUAAGGCGAGGCCGAAAGGCGUAGUCGAUGGGAAACAGGUUAAUAUUCCUGUACUUGGUGUUACUGCGAAGGGGGGACGGAGAAGGCUAUGUUGGCCGGGCGACGGUUGUCCCGGUUUAAGCGUGUAGGCUGGUUUUCCAGGCAAAUCCGGAAAAUCAAGGCUGAGGCGUGAUGACGAGGCACUACGGUGCUGAAGCAACAAAUGCCCUGCUUCCAGGAAAAGCCUCUAAGCAUCAGGUAACAUCAAAUCGUACCCCAAACCGACACAGGUGGUCAGGUAGAGAAUACCAAGGCGCUUGAGAGAACUCGGGUGAAGGAACUAGGCAAAAUGGUGCCGUAACUUCGGGAGAAGGCACGCUGAUAUGUAGGUGAAGCGACUUGCUCGUGGAGCUGAAAUCAGUCGAAGAUACCAGCUGGCUGCAACUGUUUAUUAAAAACACAGCACUGUGCAAACACGAAAGUGGACGUAUACGGUGUGACGCCUGCCCGGUGCCGGAAGGUUAAUUGAUGGGGUCAGCGCAAGCGAAGCUCUUGAUCGAAGCCCCGGUAAACGGCGGCCGUAACUAUAACGGUCCUAAGGUAGCGAAAUUCCUUGUCGGGUAAGUUCCGACCUGCACGAAUGGCGUAAUGAUGGCCAGGCUGUCUCCACCCGAGACUCAGUGAAAUUGAACUCGCUGUGAAGAUGCAGUGUACCCGCGGCAAGACGGAAAGACCCCGUGAACCUUUACUAUAGCUUGACACUGAACAUUGAGCCUUGAUGUGUAGGAUAGGUGGGAGGCUUUGAAGUGUGGACGCCAGUCUGCAUGGAGCCGGCCUUGAAAUACCACCCUUUAAUGUUUGAUGUUCUAACGUUGGCCCCUGACCGGGGUUGCGGACAGUGUCUGGUGGGUAGUUUGACUGGGGCGGUCUCCUCCUAAAGAGUAACGGAGGAGCACGAAGGUUGGCUAAUCCUGGUCGGACAUCAGGAGGUUAGUGCAAUGGCAUAAGCCAGCUUGACUGCGAGCGUGACGGCGCGAGCAGGUGCGAAAGCAGGUCAUAGUGAUCCGGUGGUUCUGAAUGGAAGGGCCAUCGCUCAACGGAUAAAAGGUACUCCGGGGAUAACAGGCUGAUACCGCCCAAGAGUUCAUAUCGACGGCGGUGUUUGGCACCUCGAUGUCGGCUCAUCACAUCCUGGGGCUGAAGUAGGUCCCAAGGGUAUGGCUGUUCGCCAUUUAAAGUGGUACGCGAGCUGGGUUUAGAACGUCGUGAGACAGUUCGGUCCCUAUCUGCCGUGGGCGCUGGAGAACUGAGGGGGGCUGCUCCUAGUACGAGAGGACCGGAGUGGACGCAUCACUGGUGUUCGGGUUGUCAUGCCAAUGGCACUGCCCGGUAGCUAAAUGCGGAAGAGAUAAGUGCUGAAAGCAUCUAAGCACGAAACUUGCCCCGAGAUGAGUUCUCCCUGACUCCUUGAGAGUCCUGAAGGAACGUUGAAGACGACGACGUUGAUAGGCCGGGUGUGUAAGCGCAGCGAUGCGUUGAGCUAACCGGUACUAAUGAACCGUGAGGCUUAACCUU